GAGGGUAUCGCUUAGUGGUAGAGCAUUUGCUUUGAGUGCACGAGGUCCCGGGUUCAAUCCCCAGUCCCUCCA
rfam:Camelus ferus unplaced genomic scaffold scaffold589, whole genome shotgun sequence.